UACGGAGGGGGCAAGCGUUGUUCGGAAUUACUGGGCGUAAAGGGCGCGCAGGCGGCUGCUCAAGUCAGGCGUGAAAGGCCUGGGCUCAACCCGGGAAUUGCGCUUGAGACUGGGCUGGCUUGAGUGCGGGAGAGGAUGGUGGAAUUCCCAGUGUAGAGGUGAAAUUCGUAGAUAUUGGGAAGAACACCGGUGGCGAAGGCGGCCAUCUGGACCGAUAUUGACGCUGAGGAGCGAAAGCCAGGGGAGCAAACGGG
rnacentral:rRNA from 1 species